rnacentral:tRNA from 1 species
UAGCUCAGGGUCGAGUGUGUGCUUAGCAUGCAUGAGAUCCUGGGUUCAAUUCCCAG